UACGUAGGGUGCGAGCGUUGUCCGGAUUUAUUGGGCGUAAAGGGCUCGUAGGCGGCGUGUCGCGUCGGGAGUGAAAGCCCGUUGCUUAACGGCGGGUUGGCUUUCGGUACGGGCAUGCUGGAGUGCGGCAGGGGAGACUGGAAUUCCUGGUGUAGCGGUGAAAUGCGCAGAUAUCAGGAGGAACACCGGUGGCGAAGGCGGGUCUCUGGGCAGUAACUGACGCUGAGGAGCGAAAGCGUGGGGAGCGAACAGG
rnacentral:rRNA from 1 species